rnacentral:siRNA from 1 species
CAAAUCAAUAGGAAAUGCUAU